rnacentral:rRNA from 1 species
CGUGCCAUUGAGUGGGGGAUAACGUAGCGAAAGUUGCGCUAAUACCGCAUAUUCUGUGAGCAGGAAAGCAGGGGACCGCAAGGCCUUGCGCUCUUUGACCGGCCGAUGUCAGAUUAGCUAGUUGGUGAGGUAAAGGCUUACCAAGGCGACGAUCUGUAGCGGGUCUGAGAGGAUGAUCCGCCACACUGGAACUGAGACACGGUCCAGACUCCUACGGGAGGCAGCAGUGGGGAAUUUUGGACAAUGGGGGCAACCCUGAUCCAGCCAUGCCGCGUGAGUGAAGAAGGCCUUCGGGUUGUAAAGCUCUUUCGGCCGGGAAGAAAUCGCAUGGGCCAAUACCCUGUGUGGAUGACGGUACCGGAAUAAGAAGCACCGGCUAACUACGUGCCAGCAGCCGCGGUAAUACGUAGGGUGCGAGCGUUAAUCGGAAUUACUGGGCGUAAAGCGUGCGCAGGCGGUUUUGUAAGACAGGCGUGAAAUCCCCGGGCUUAACCUGGGAACUGCGUUUGUGACUGCAAGGCUAGAGUACGGCAGAGGGGGGUGGAAUUCCACGUGUAGCAGUGAAAUGCGUAGAGAUGUGGAGGAACACCAAUGGCGAAGGCAGCCCCCUGGGUCGAUACUGACGCUCAUGCACGAAAGCGUGGGUAGCAAACAGGAUUAGAUACCCUGGUAGUCCACGCCCUAAACUAUGUCAACUAGGUGUUGGGUGGGUAAAACCAUUUAGUACCGUAGCUAACGCGUGAAGUUGACCGCCUGGGGAGUACGGCCGCAAGGUUAAAACUCAAAGGAAUUGACGGGGACCCGCACAAGCGGUGGAUGAUGUGGAUUAAUUCGAUGCAACGCGAAAAACCUUACCUACCCUUGACAUGCCAGGAACUUGCCAGAGAUGGCUUGGUGCCCGAAAGGGAGCCUGGACACAGGUGCUGCAUGGCUGUCGUCAGCUCGUGUCGUGUGAUGUUGGGUUAAGUCCCGCAACGAGCGCAACCCUUGUCGUUAAUUGCCAUCAUUUAGUUGGGCACUUUAACGAGACUGCCGGUCACAAACCGGAGGAAGGUGGGGAUGACGUCAAGUCCUCAUGGCCCUUAUGGGUAGGGCUUCACACGUCAUACGAUGGUCGGUACAAAGGGUUGCCAAGCCGCGAGGCGGAGCCAAUCCCAGAAAGCCGAUCGUAGUCCGGAUUGCAGGCUGCAACUCGCCUGCAUGAAGUCGGAAUCGCUAGUAAUCGUGGAUCAGCAUGUCACGGUGAAUACGUUCCCGGGUCUUGUACACACCGCCCGUCACACCAUGGGAGCGGGUUCCGCCAGAAGUAGGUAGCCUAACCGCAAGGGGGGCGCUUACC